AUCCAAGAAUGCAGCAAUGGCUAGACUUUUUCUGAGGGUUGCUAAAAAAGGAAACAAACACUUUCUGAUGUUAAUUUUCUCUUUUACUUCAUCUUGAAAAAUCUCUCUCUGAAAAUCUCUCUGUCUCCACAUAGCACAUAUCUUCUUCACCUCUCCCUUUUCACAGCUCUCCUCUGCACAUCUACACAUCUUUCCACACAGCUCUCUCCUGCACAUCUUUAUGUUAUACACACUUCUUAUCUCUAUUCUGCUAUAUUCCUUCACACUUUAAUACAUCACUCACUCACUCCUCACUCAUUCACUCACUCAUUCUCCUCUACACAUACAUCUCUGUCCUACAUACACAUCUCUGUCUCCACAGCAAAAAACUCUGGACAAGUAUGAGUUACAUUUUUAGGGGCACAAAGCAUUUCUUGAGUAAACAAUAAGAGACAGAGCCAUUCUGAUACACAUAAGAAAUCACAUAGUUUCUCUCAGACUUGGAAUGUCACACUGACCAGCCAGAAUGUAAGCAAGCACAUAGCUCUAAGUGGUCAGCAUUCCCCAACAGAGAGUGACAUUGGAAUUCAGGACUUAAACAAUAAACAAUUAGUUGGCUUAACCUUGAGUCUUGUAUCAUAAACUGAGGUUAGGAGUACAUGCAGAAAGUCAAUUGCUGCAGGGAGUUAUGCCUUAAUGUUAUCAGCCUCACUUUGGUUCAACAAACAGACACCUGGGAACUUGCUCCUGUAUAAUUCAUCUCCAGGGGCAAUUUGUCUAUUUUGGAUUUGUUAAACGUGUAAAAGGCUGUCUUUGUAGGUGAGAUUACUGUCAUUUUCCUAUGUCAGUCUGAGUUAUAAAAAAUAUUUCAGUAUUAUUUCUAAUCUUCAAAAUUAUACAUCUUAAGAAGAAAUCAUCUUUCUUACCAUCCACAGAUAUAUGUUCCUCAAAGGUACAGAAUACACCACCAAUGGGCAAGGAAAGAACUCCAUAUCUGUUCUUUUUAGGGAAGAAUUGUGACAGUACAUGAGAAAAAUUACAGACAGAAGCAACCAGUUUCCACAGCCAGUGACCCUACAGUCUUUGCCUAGUGGGGCUUUCUGCCAGAGAGUUAUCUAUCUGGAUGUAAAGCUCUCAGCUACUACUGCAGCACCAUGUCUGUGUGCUUCCUGCCAUGACAAUCACAGACUAAUCCUCUAAAACUGGAAACAAGUCCACAAUUAAAUUGUUUCUUCUAUAAGAAUUGUCUUGGUAAUUAAGACACCGUAGAAAAGAUUUCACGCAGCUGUCAUCAGAGAGGCGUCCUCCUGCAGUGGAUGGGAGCUAAUACAGAGACUCAACUGGACCAGGUGCAGAGGGUGAGAAAUCUUGGAAAAUUCAGUCUUAAAUGGGGUGUCGUCAUCAAAUCCUUCACUUCAGGACUCAAAGAACAAAGAGAAACGGGAGGCAGAAAGAUUGCAAAGGUCAGUGGGGAUGCAAGACGCCAAGAAACCUGUGCCUCACAGUUACCACAGGAUGGGCUUUCAGAACCGAGAGUGGAACUAGACGGGAGCCCCACUCCAGUCCCAGAAUCCACCUCCACUUGGCAACUUCUCAAAAAGGAAGUCAGUUUUCUUCAAUAGAGUCUUACUGGUUAUACAAACCACAGUGAAGGGCAGGCCCCACGUCCAGCAUGAAAUGAAUUCAGUGGUACUUUGGGAGACAUUUUGUCAUGUAAUGUUGUUUAGGCAGUUUUUACCUUACUAGAUUUUUACCUUUGCUUACAUACUAUGUUUUCUGAUUAUGGGUUUUAAGUGAGUGUAUGUGUGUGUCUCUGGGUAUGUAUAUAUUCUUUUCUUUUUUCUGUUUGUUUUAUUCUGGUUUGAUCCUUUUAUUUUAAUUUGCCUGUUUGUUUUCUAAUAGAAAGGAAUGGAGUUAAGACAGAGGUGGAGAGAUUCUGGAAGGAAACCAUGGUCAGAACAUAUUGUCUGUAAAACGUAGUUUCAGUAAAUAAAACUGAUAAAAAUGUGGUGCUCUUUAUGUCACAAGAGCGCUACAGAAGCUGUCAAGUUAGCAACAGGGAAAGGAGACAACCUCAAUACGAACCUCAGGAGAUACCAAUGAUCUCCUGGGACCUGUUCUCCCCUAACCCCACUUCCACAUUAAUGCUCUCACCACUGAAGAUGGGUUUUAUGGCUUAUACCACAUGGAGGUGGGGUCUAGCCACUUGAUAAAAUGAAUGGGAGAGUUAACGUACUUUUCCAUCCUUGCCACAGGCUUGCAAUUUCAUGGCCGGUGCUGGGGAUCUCCAGCUUGGGCCCCAUUCCAAACCGGGCCCUCAGCGCGCCAAGUGGCGGCUCCUCCCCUGGAGCUGCCCUCUCCAGACCCUGCCCAGAGAAAGCCUGCCAGGCAGCAGCUCCUCUCCAGACCGCCUGCAGGGUAUUUAAGGUCCCUCCAUGUGGUUUCUCUUCUUCCCCUGGUCCCACCUGGGAAUACUUUCCUCAGUUUAAAACCUGGAUUUAUUAAUUUGGCCUGAUCUGAUUUAUUGCAAUCAACGGAGUUACCCACUACUGAGGGAGGGAUAUUUUACUGAUCAGCCUGGACUGAUGAAAUGUGGGAGUCUUUUCUUGAAAAUGAACAUGUUUAGGGGCCAAGAGGGUUGCUCAGAGGCUAAAGGCACUGGGUCAAUCCUAAUGACGUGUUUGAUCCCUGGAACUGAAUCUUGUAAGUAAUCCUCUAAUCUUCACGUGCAUGCUAUAUCAUGUAAAGAAACACACACACACACAUUAAGCAAAUACGUUGAAAAACAGCAAAAGGAGGAAAUUUUAAAAUAUUGAUUAGAAAAUAAAAUUAGGUAGACUUAUGGUGUACAAUGUGUUAAGUUGAAAUGUUAUAUACUAAUGACAAUUGAACCAAUAAACACGUUCUUCACCGUCCAUAGAUACAAAAUAAUUGUCAAAUCUAGAGUCACCUGGGAGAUGGCCCUGUGGGAAUACCUUUGGGAAAUCAUUUUGAUUAUAUUAAUUGAAGUAGGAAGACUGGUCUUAAUUGUGCAUAGGACCAUUCCCAGAACAGAAGAUCUUGGAUUACAUAAUCUUGAGAAAGUGUGCUGAGCACUAGCAUGCAUUUGUUGUCUUUGUUCCUGAGUGUGAGUGUGUCAAGCUCUGUUCACCAUGGCUUUCUCACCAAGAUGGACUGUACCCUGGAACUGUGACCCACAACAGUCCCUUUCUUCCUUAAGGUGCUUCUGUUCCAGUUAUUUAUUACAGCAACGAGAAAAGAAACUAAGACAUAAACUAAAUAGAUUUUGCCUUGAGAUGACUGUAGACCUUUGAGAAAUAUAAAUGUAAGGUUAUGACAACGGUCAAACUAACAAGAAAUGAAUUUCCUUGGCAAGUUGACUGAAUCAGGAAUUGCCUAUGAAACAAAUUUCUGAGUGCGUUUAUUAAAGAAAAUUUUCAAGUUCUUUAGCUGAGUUGGAAAAGACCACUCUGAGUGUAGGCGGGACUACAAUAUAUCCUGCUGUCUCAACUGAAUGAAAAGAGAAGAAGAUGGAAGCCAGCUGAGUGCCAUUUACUGUCCUGUUUCCUAACUGAGGAUACAACGUGGCCACUUGCUUCACAUGUUUACUGCCGUGCCUUCCACACUGUUUUGGAAUGCAUUGCUGUUUGAGAUAGCAGAGGUGACCGAACAAGAACAAUACCAAUAGAUGUGCUGCUAAUGUGGACAAGUGCAAGCUGAUUGGGCCUCAAGCCAGGACAAAGAUCUACAGACAACUAUGGACAUUUUUUAAUGAUAUCUUUAGUUAGUUUAUAAAGCAGUAGUUUUCUAAAUGCAUUUUUGUAUACAUCCUGAGUUUACUUGACCCCCGCCCCUUACCCUACAACAUUCCCUCUUUUCUCCAUCUCAACCAGUAUCUAAACUUUCUCUCUGCUUUCCUGUUACAUAAGCUGUAAUACCCACCAGGACUUUCAGCUCUUCUCCCAUCCUGUUGCUCCUGGUUUCUGCAACAUUUCAACUUAAACACAAAUCUUAAAAUUUGGAGCUAACCUCUGCAUUUGUGAGCAAAAGCAUUACAGACCUGGGUUACCUCAAUAUAAUAAUUUCUAGCUCAUCUAUUUGCAUGGAACGACAAUUUUUCUUUAAUGCUAAGUAUAUGAACCACAUUUUUUAUAAUCAGUUCAUCAUUUAAUGGACUUCUAAGCUCAUUAAUUUCCUACAUAUUGUAAGUAGAGCAAAAAUGAACUUGGAGAUACAAGUAGAGUUUAGAGUCCUCUGGGUAUAUGUCCCGGAGUGGUAUAGCUAGGUCAUCAAGAGUUCUACUUUUAGCUUUUUGAGAAGGCCUCACACUAAUUUCCAUAGUGUUUGUACUAAUUUACACUCUUGCCAACAGUGAAUAAAGUCUCCCCUCUCCCUAUACUCUAGCCAGUAUUUGUUCUCCUUUGCUUUCUUGAGGAUAGGCAUUCUGACUUGAAUGAGAUGGAAUCCUUUUCUUUCUUUCAUUUUUUAUUAAUUUGUUCUUUAUGUCUUUCACAUCAUGUCUCCUGAUCCCCCUCAUCUCCCUCCCCACUCCAAAAUGAAUGAAUGAAUGAAUAAAUAAAUAAAUAAAGUUUAAGAGAAAAAGAGGUAAAGAAAAAGUAGGAAGAAGGAGAAAGUCUCAUCAUGAAAGCUGAGGUGUAACUUAGUGAGUCACCUAAUAAACCCCUUUAUCCAUAUAUGUUUACAUGCUUAUGUUUAUCGUGAAGAAUCAAUGGUGUAGUUCGAGGCCUCUGGUCUCUGUUGCAUCAUCAGUGCUGGUCCCUUGUGGUGGUAUUUUACUUGUACUGAAAUGUGAUUUUAAUUGUAUGUUAAUAAAUAAAGUUGUCUGGGGGUCAGAGCUAUUAGAGCCAUAGCAAGUGCGUGGCAGUGGUGGCGCAUGCCUUUAAGGACCUGGAGGGCGGUACAUACAGGCAGUGAUGAGGCAGUCACAUGUUUGGGUUUACAACCAAUGAGGAAGGCAGAACAGCUAGAGUAUAUAAAGACAUACACACAGGAAGUAGGUCCCUUUCGGAGAGCUCUCUUGGCUGAAGAGGAUCCCUGAAUCAGGAAGGGUGAGGCUCUUAGCUCUGACCUCUUGGCUUUCUUCUCUGAAUCGGCUCUGUGUUUCUUAUUUAAUAAGACGGUUGGUUACA